rnacentral:rRNA from 1 species
CCUACGGGAGGCUGCAGUGGGGAAUAUUGGACAAUGGGGGGAACCCUGAUCCAGCCAUGCCGCGUGUGUGAAGAAGGCCCUCGGGUUGUAAAGCACUUUCAGUGAGGAAGAACGCCUGGUGGUUAAUACCCAUCAGGAAAGACAUCACUCACAGAAGAAGCACCGGCUAACUCCGUGCCAGCAGCCGCGGUAAUACGGAGGGUGCGAGCGUUAAUCGGAAUUACUGGGCGUAAAGCGCGCGUAGGUGGCUUGAUAAGCCGGUUGUGAAAGCCCCGGGCUCAACCUGGGAACGGCAUCCGGAACUGUCAAGCUAGAGUGCAGGAGAGGAAGGUAGAAUUCCCGGUGUAGCGGUGAAAUGCGUAGAGAUCGGGAGGAAUACCAGUGGCGAAGGCGGCCUUCUGGACUGACACUGACACUGAGGUGCGAAAGCGUGGGUAGCAAACAGGAUUAGAUACCCCGGUAUC